UAAUACCGGAUAGAUCAAAGAUACUGGAAUGUUCCUUGAUCCAAAGCUCCGGCGUCCAAGGAUGGAUCUGCGGCCUAUCAGGUAGUAGUGGGUGUAACGUACCUACUAGCCUACGACGGGUACGGGUUGUGAGAGCAAGAGCCCGGAGAUGGAUUCUGAGACAUGAAUCCAGGCCCUACGGGGCGCAGCAGGCGCGAAAUCUUUACAAUGCAGGAAACUGCGAUAAGGGGACCCCGAGUGCCAGCAUCAAAUGCUGGCUGUCCAGCUGUGUAAAUAGCAGUUGUUAGCAAGGGCCGGGCAAGACCGGUGCCAGCCGCCGCGGUAACACCGGCGGCCCGAGUGGUAACCGAUUUUAUUGGGUUUAAAGGGUCCGUAGCCGGCCUGUUAAGUCUCUUGGGAAAUCUGGCGGCUCAAUCGUCAGGCGUCC
rnacentral:rRNA from 1 species